GCUGAGUCAGCCAUCUUGAAUUUACCUUGAUGCGGGGAAGAUUUGGCCAGCCCGUGUGGAUUAAGAGUCCCCAACUUCAACCCACCACGACCACCACCUUAUUUUUUUUUCAUCAACUGCCCUAAAUUUGUUUAGAGGGGUAUUCCACUAAGCGAGCUCUACAAGUCAAGGCUGGGCAGUGGGUCCAUGAAUAAACUGCCUCACUCCUGCAGGUGUCUUUCCAUACUUCCCAUCGUUCAAGAACCAAAAGAUGGCUGCUGCCCAGAAGCAUGUGCUGCGUGUGUAUGUUGAACGAGACACCGCCCUGAAACUUACUCUACUU